GACGUAGGGGGCAAGCGUUGUUCGGAAUUAUUGGGCGUAAAGCGCUCGUAGGCGGGACAGGAAGUUCGUGUUGAAAGACCUCGGCUCAACUGAGGGACCGGCUCGAAUACUCUUGUUCUUGAGGCAAUCAGAGGGUGAUGGAAUUCCCGGUGUAGCGAUGAAAUGCGUAGAUAUCGGGAGGAACACCAGUGGCGAAGGCGAUCACCUGGGGUUGUUCUGACGCUGAGGAGCGAAAGCUAGGGGAGCAAACGGG
rnacentral:rRNA from 1 species